GUGUUUACACAGAGGGCACAUGAAUAUUUCAACACAAUAGCCAAGAGGAAUAAAAUACUAAAACUCUGUUAAGCAUAAAUACUUAUGCAUAAGAAGCUGUGCUUGUUUAAAACCCUGCUUAAGAAGAAUAUUUUUACAUAAGGGUCAACACAGAAAGCAUUAAAUGUUAAUGGCUCUGAUUUUAUUGUAGGCAAAGUGAAAAUACUUAAUCUCCUUUUACAGUAGAGGAAUGUACACCCUGCCAAGUCAUUUUAUUAGUUAAAUAGUAGAACAACACUGAGAAGUUUGGCCUAGUUUUUCAGCUCCUAUAAUGCUACCAUAGGGACAUGUUGAAAAAUUGCAAUUUG
rnacentral:lncRNA from 1 species